rnacentral:sRNA from 1 species
CUUUGUCUCACUUCAGCCCGAGCGCGGGGUUAGGGCUUCAUUGCCUUGUGUCUUCUGCUCCGGGAGACUUCGGUGAUUCUGCCACUCACUCCGUCGCUCUGUGACCUGCUGGCAUUGAAUGAUUUAUAGCUAAGACUCCAGGACACCCCUGAAGCCGAGAAAUGGAACUCUUAACAUUCAGGGAUGUGGCCAUAGAAUUCUCUCCAGAAGAGUGGAAAUGCCUGGACCCUGCCCAACAGAAUUUAUAUAGAGAUGUGAUGUUGGAGAACUACAGAAACCUGGUCUCCCUGGUGUUGCUAUCUCUAACCAGACCUGGUCACCUGUCUGGAGCAAAGAAAAGAGCCUUACAAUUUGAAGAUAGAUGAGACAGUAGCCAAACCCCCAAUGAUCUCCCUUCAAGUUUACAGUGAGACCCAAUGUCCCCUUUAUCACUUAUAAAGGGCUGCAUGAUCUGUCUGCUUUUCCAUUGGUUUUGGAUACAUAGGAAUAUUUGUAUUUUUGAGGAGUUCUAUGUUAAAGUAUCUUUUUCAGAUAUUCUUUUUGCAUCAUGUCUAAAAUGUGUAAGGUGAGUAGGGGACAUACUGGGAUUUGGUUCAGAAAUCCCAGCAACACCAGGGACAGAUGUUGCAUCUUUUCCGCUUAAUAAUUUUUAAUCCUGUAGAGAUUGCAAAUGUGAUUCUACAAAAAUCCUUACUCAGCAAUUUUAUCAGAACAAUAAGCAUUUUUCUAAAUAUGAAAAAAUAUAAUGUUAUUUUACCUCAAAGUGUUACUGCUUUAGAAUAAAUUGAGAUUUGUAAUUUAAACUCUAUAUGUGCAGAUUUUCAAA